GGGCGUAUAGCGCAGUAGUAGCGUGUUGUAGUUAUACUAUAGAGGUCCUAAGUUCGAAUCUUAGUAUACCUA